UUUCGAGUUGACUAACGGGUAGGUCGUAAAUUUUUGGUAUUUAUUGUGGGUGUUCGAAUCACCCCUCGAAAA
rnacentral:tRNA from 1 species